rnacentral:rRNA from 1 species
ACGAGGGACCCUAGCGUUGUUCGGAAUCAUUGGGCGUAAAGCGGGUGUAGGUGGCUUUGUAAGUCAGGUGUGAAAGCCCAGGGCUUAACCCUGGAAGUGCAUUUGAUACUGCGAAGCUUGAGUGCUGGAGAGGCUAUUAGAAUUCCUGGUGUAGUGGUGAAAUACGUAGAUAUCAGGAGGAAUACCGGAGGCGAAGGCGGAUAGCUGGCCAGACACUGACACUCAGACCCGAAAGUGCGGGGAUCAAACAGGA